rnacentral:rRNA from 1 species
CAAGUCGAGCGAGAGGGGGUAGCAAUACCCUAGUAAAGCGGCGCACGGGUGAGUAACACGUGGAUAACCUGCCUCGAAGUGGGGAAUAACCCCGGGAAACCGGAGCUAAUACCGCAUAUUCUGACGAGGUCUGCGGAUUUUGUCAGGAAAGGAGCAAUUCGCUUUGAGAGGGGUCCGCGGCUGAUUAGCUAGUUGGUGAGGUAAUGGCUCACCAAGGCCACGAUCAGUAGCCGGUCUGAGAGGACGGUCGGCCACACUGGAACUGAGACACGGUCCAGACUCCUACGGGAGGCAGCAGUGGGGAAUUUUUCGCAAUGGGGGCAACCCUGACGAAGCAACGCCGCGUGGGUGAUGAAGUAUUUCGGUACGUAAAACCCUUUCGACGGGGAAGAAACCGCAAGGUUGACGGUACCCGUAGAAGAAGCCCCGGCUAACUCCGUGCCAGCAGCCGCGGUAAUACGGGGGGGGCAAGCGUUGUUCGGAAUUACUGGGCGUAAAGGGCGCGUAGGCGGUUCGCUAAGUUGGAUGUGAAAACUCUGGGCUUAACCCAGAGCCUGCAUCCAAAACUGGCGAACUAGAGUACUGGAGGGGAAAGCGGAAUUCCUGGUGUAGCGGUGAAAUGCGUAGAUAUCAGGAGGAACACCGGUGGCGAAGGCGGCUUUCUGGACAGUAACUGACGCUGAGGCGCGAAAGCUAGGGGAGCAAACAGGAUUAGAUACCCUGGUAGUCCUAGCCCUAAACUAUGGAUACUUGGUGUGAGGGGGAUUGAAUCCCUUUCUUGCC